rnacentral:rRNA from 1 species
UACGUAGGGUGCAAGCGUUGUCCGGAAUUAUUGGGCGUAAAGAGCUCGUAGGCGGCUUGUCGCGUCGUCCGUGAAAACCUGCAGCUCAACUGCGGGCUUGCGGUCGAUACGGGCAGGCUAGAGUUCGGUAGGGGAGACUGGAAUUCCUGGUGUAGCGGUGAAAUGCGCAGAUAUCAGGAGGAACACCGGUGGCGAAGGCGGGUCUCUGGGCAGUAACUGACGCUGAGGAGCGAAAGCGUGGGGAGCGAACAGG